UACGUAGGGGGCAAGCGUUGUCCGGAAUCAUUGGGCGUAAAGAGCGCGUAGGCGGUCCAGUAAGUCCGCUCUGAAAGUCCGGGGCUCAACCCCGGGAGGCGGGCGGAUACUGCUGGGCUAGAGUCCGGAAGAGGCGAGUGAAUUCCUGGUGUAGCGGUGAAAUGCGUAGAUAUCUGGAGGAACACCGGUGGCGAAGGCGGCAUUCUGGACUGUAACUGACACUGAGAGACGAAAGCCAGGGGAGCAAACGGG
rnacentral:rRNA from 1 species